ensembl:misc_RNA Metazoa_SRP Metazoan signal recognition particle RNA
GCCAGGUGUGGUGGUGCACACCUGUAAUCCCAGCUACUUGGGAGGCUGAGGGAGGAGAAUCGCUUGAACCCAGGAGGUGGGGGUUGCAGUGAGCCAAGAUUGCACCACUGUACUCCAGCCUGGGUGACAGAGCAAGACUCUGUCUCAA